rnacentral:lncRNA from 1 species
CUGAACCACCAGUAUGACUACACGUUUGAUUGGACGAUGUUAAAGCAGAAAGCAGCCCAGCAGGCAGCCUCUUCCAGUGGGCAGGGUCAGCAGGCCCAAACCCCCACAGGCAAGCAAACUGACAAAACCAAGAGUAACAUGAAAGGUUUCUAAGCAUGGAGGAAGAGAAGCAGCAGAGCAGAAGAUUGGAGCAACAUUUGUUUCUCCCCAGAUCUAGACCUUUUAGUUCAUAUGUACACUAGCCAGUGGUUGUGGACAACCAUUUACUUGGUGUAAAGGACUUACUUUCCGUAUAAACUGGCUCUGGGUAGCACUGCUGAUCCUGAGCUGUAGCCGCUGUAAUUGUGAAUAUUAACUGAGGUAGUGAAACAUGGUGUCCGGUUUUCUAUUGCAUUUUUUUCAAGUGGAAAAGUUAACUAAAUGGUUGACACACAAAUUGGUGGAGAAAUUGUGCAUAUGCCAAUUUUUUUGUUAAAAUCUUUUAUUUUGAACUAUACUGCUUUGAGAUCUCAUUUCAGAAGAACGGCAUGAACAGUCUUCAGCCACAGUUGUGAUGGUUGUAAAUGUUCACAAUUGUGUGUUCUUAGGGUUUUCCAUCCCUGGGGUUUGCAAGUUGUUGACGUAAAAACAUUCUUUAAAUGGCUGGCUUCUUGUUUGCAAGCUAGCUGAUAGGGUAGCAACCAAAGAUUCCAGUGUUCGAGCAUUUGAAAGACUCUGCCUGCUUACUGUGCUAGAAAUAACAGCAUCUAAAGUGAAGACUUACGAAAAAAAACAUAGCGACUACUAGAUUAUCUUUAGGACUCUGCAUUAACUCUAUAAUGUUCUUGCUAUUAAAAAAAGCAUAUUUGUCACAGAAAUUUAGUUACCGUCUUACAACUGAACAUGUAUGUGUGUUGCUUAGAUAAAUGUAAUCACUGUAAACAUCUAUAUGAUCUGGGAUUUUGUUUUUAUUUUGAAAUGGGAGCUUUUUGUUUACAAGUUCAUUAAAAACUAAAAACUG